rnacentral:rRNA from 1 species
UACGUAGGGUGCGAGCGUUGUCCGGAAUUACUGGGCGUAAAGAGCUCGUAGGUGGUUUGUCGCGUCGACUGUGAAAACCCGCGGCUCAACUGCGGGCCUGCAGCCGAUACGGGCAGGCUAGAGUUCGGUAGGGGAGACUGGAAUUCCUGGUGUAGCGGUGAAAUGCGCAGAUAUCAGGAGGAACACCAGUGGCGAAAGCGCUCUACUAGGCCGUGACUGACACUGAGAGACGAUAGCUAGGGGAGCGAAUGGG